rnacentral:misc_RNA from 1 species
UCCGGUUUGUCACCGGCAGUCUCGCAUGAGUCCCCACCCGAAGUGAUGGCAACAUGCGACAAGGGUUGCGCUCGUUGCGGGACUUAACCCGACAUCUCACGACACGAGCUGACGACAGCCAUGCAGCACCUGUGUUCCGAUUCCCUUUCGGGCACCCCCGCCUCUCGGCAGGGUUCCGGACAUGUCAAGGGUAGGUAAGGUUGUUCGCGUUGCAUCGAAUUAAUCCACAUCAUCCACCGCUUGUGCGGGUCCCCGUCAAUUCCUUUGAGUUUUAACCUUGCGGCCGUACUCCCCAGGCGGUCGACUUCACGCGUUAGCUACGGCACCAAGGAAUCGCUUCCCCAACGCCUAGUCGACAUCGUUUAGGGCGUGGACUAC